rnacentral:tRNA from 23 species
GCCGAAUUAGCUCAAGGGUAGAGCGAUGCACUCGUAAUGCAUAGGCUACAGGUUCAAUUCCUGUAUUCGGCACCA